GGUGAUGACACCCACUCCGGUGGGUGUAAACCCCUGGCAGCGGUUCAAAGGCCGU
rnacentral:ribozyme from 1 species